ensembl:lncRNA
UGUGACAACUACGUCAGUAACACCAACUCAGGCCAUACAACAUAUAGCACAAUCAACCAUGACAGAAAACACUUCACUGGAAACAUUUCAGAGUACACCCGAGGGAACAACAAAUGGGACUCCUUCCCAAAGUAAAGGAACUGUUGCUAACAAAAAUGUAAACAGCUCUGUCACACCCUCACCCUCAUUCAGCCCUUUACCAUCUACAGUAAUGGUUCCAAAAUCCACUGCUGUAAUAGAGUCGAGUUCGCCUUCAUUAUUUUCUACAGAGCAAUCAUCACCAAACACUGCCCAAGCCAACACAACAGGGCCCCAAGUUAACUCUACAUCUUUCCCCCCAUCUACGGCCAACACAAUAUUUUUUAAGUAUACACCCAAGAUUGCCACUCUGACCCCUCUUAUCUUUGAUUAUCCAAUUGUGAACCGCAUCAGCUUUCCUGCUUCCAAUGAUUCAAACCCAGAAGAACAAUUGCAGAACAACACAAAUCAGACACACACACACACACCACCACCAUCAACUUUGCUAAAUUACUAAUGAAAAACAUUGACCAGGCACCUGUGAUUGAGCAGCAAUGUCCAUCCAACUCUUUUCAUGGUUGUUGUAGUCGAGAUAAUUUUGUGAGGCCACAUUGAAAAGCCUUGGAUACGGAAGCGUAGAGCUGCCACCCAGGCAAAAGAAAAGCAGAGCUAUAUCACGUUAUAACAUGAAAAGUAUAUUGUUCUAACAAUAUACCUUUCGCGUUUGAACAAUAUAUUAUCACGUUCGUACAAUAUAAAUAUUAUAUUGUACAAACAUGAAAAGUAUAUUGUUGGGGGUUAGGAAAGCCAGAAGCAGGGAAGCUGGAGAGGUACCUUUCAUGUCCAUUCACUGGAGGUGUGGAUCUAUUGCAUGGCUUUCCUCACAUCAAGAAGCUGUCCAUCAAAAUCAAUACAGCUCUUCCUGCAUCUGGAGCUUGUGAAGGACUUCUCAGUGAUGCAGGACUCCUGUUCACUGCUAAACAGUUACAGCUUCACAGAAAGAACCUUGAGAGCAAACUGCUGCUGAAGCUUAACCAUCACCUCAUUGAGUGAAGAAAUGGCACACCCAUACAACUUAUGGCAGGCAGCACCUGAUUGAUAGUCACCUGAUGGCCCCCUUGGAGAGCAAUAACACAGAAAAAAAUGCGUCAGAGACUGUAGCAAAAUGUGUUGUAUCAAGUGAUGUAAAAGAAGAAAAAAAAAUACUUUGCCUUCAGCUUGUCUUGAUCCCAAAUGUCUGACAGUGAAAGACCUGGUUUUGCAAGCUGCGUGUUAUUUUCAUUAGCUCACCUGCCCAUUGAUGUGAAGCACAAUGUUACAUAGAUUAGAUAGGCUGUAGCUCUGAAAUAAAUGGUGUACAGCAAGAAGUAACCUGAGUUUCAUUUAUGCUCUGAAUUGUUGUAACAAUGAUUGUAAAAGUGAGCCAAGCACUGACAUGUUCGUGGUGGUUGUGGUGUUUAAGUAAGGUACACUGCACUCCUCUCUUUGUUUGAAUUCAAGAUUCCAGGUGUGUUAACGAACAUAAUGAAAAAAGAACGAAAAAGAAUACACAUAUGUACAAAUUGUAUAUAAUUUGUGCUUUUUAGUAUGCCAAGCUGUUUUUAAGCUCUUUUCUGUGUAUAAAUGCUCAACAGUCUUUAAUCAUAAUUAAGUUUAACGCAUAAUUAGGUGCACCAAAGCAAAAGCACUGGAGCACAGUAGUUGCUAUUUUUCAAAUUUAUCAUUAUUUAAAUUCUCAUUGUUAUGUAUUAUUAGUCACCAAAAUUCUCUCCCAGGCUCAGGCAGCAGGGCUUUGGUGUUUGUCCCUCUUUUCAUUCGGAACAUUCAAAAAAUAGCUUUGAAGUUAAUGAGCACACUCGAUUUUCAUCAUAUCAGCAACACCUGCACAACAUUACAGAAUUGCUAGAUUAUACAAAAGCUAUUCAAGUUUAAAUGGUUUUCAGGGAUCGCAACAAGUGUGACAGUUUCAGAAUUAACCCUGUCAUGCAUAAAUUAUUACAACCUCAAUCAGGAUUUUUUCUCAAGUAUUUUUAUUCAUCUUUUGGCAUAAAAAAGGAUUUUGGAUCUUCAUUUUUUAUCAAGGAGUUUUUUACAUGUCCACUUAAGUGGACAACACUGACUGACCAGUGGGUGGCAGGGUGACAUGAGUGACACAUCAGUGUCCAAUGUGGUAGCUUAUGUGCUAGUAUACCAUCAACACUGUCACAAAUACAAGAAAACAACCUUUUAAUAUCUGUCCACUAAAGUAACCACUAUGCGUGAAAGGGUUAAAGCCCAUACAUCACAUAUAUAACAUGUGUCCAGCUGCCUCUGUCACACAGAGAGACCUGGUGAUUAGCACAGUCUGGACAUUACAGUAACAAUUUAAUCAAAGUGUGCUAAAUCUGAAUGAUAACAGUUUUUCUAUAUCUAAUUAACUAUCCUGUGGCCACCAUUUGUUUUGAUUUAUGACUGCCUGUAAAUAUUUUGGACUAUCAAAAUAAAAUCUUUGAUAUAAUAAAGACCGUUUAAAAUCUGUUUCUUUCUUCCUUUUGGGAUAGCUUUUGUUUCAAACUGCUUACAUUUUUCUCCCAGUUUUUCUUGCAAAGUUUGAAUAGCCAUUUUUUAUCUUCUGAUGGCUCUCAAUAGAGCCUGCUAGCUCAUAUUGACAGAUGAC